rnacentral:rRNA from 1 species
UUGAUCUCAAAUCAGGUAGGACUACCCGCUGAACUUAAGCAUAUCAAUAAGCGGAGGAAAAGAAACUAACAAGGAUUCCCCUAGUAACUGCGAGUGAAGCGGGAAGAGCUCAAAUUUAAAAUCUGGCGUGCCUCUGGUCGUCCGAGUUGUAGUCUGGAGAAGCGUUUUCCGUGUGGACCGUGUACAAGUCUCUUGGAACAGGGCGUCAUAGAGGGUGAGAAUCCCGUCUUUGACACGGACUACCAAUGCUUUGUGAUGCGCUCUCAAAGAGUCGAGUUGUUGGGAAUGCAGCUCAAAAUGGGUGGUAAUUCCAUCUAAGCUAAA